GGUUCCUUAAUAAUACAUUUAUUCAAAACUGUCUAGACUCUUUUUAAAGUCUCUGUCUAGACCAUCGCUGGAAAGUGAUGGUGGAAGGUAGUGGAAGGAGUGUUCAAGGAGGAGUUCAGAGGCAUUAUAAGCAGCAGCACAGGUAACCAAUGCAGAACGUGAGACCCUGGUUUCUCAGCUGGCUCCUUGACUGACCAAUUACUUUCUGAUUUUGAGCCAGUGGUGCUGGGUUGAGAGGAUUGAGAAAUAAAGCUGAAGAUAAAAGCAAAGCAAAGAGCCCAGG